rnacentral:rRNA from 1 species
AGCGAACGUUUGCGGCGGGCUUAACACAUGCAAGUCGAACGGGCUGUUCCUUCGGGGGCAGUCAGUGGCGCACGGGUGCGUAACACGUAGGUAAUCAACCCUCUGGUUGGGGAUAACACUUCGAAAGGAGUGCUAAUACCCGGUAUGGCGCAGCGGUCUUCGGAUCGCGGCGAGAAAGACCCGCAAGGGUUGCCAGAGGACGAGCCUGCGGCCCAUCAGCUAGUUGGCGAGGUAACGGCUCACCAAGGCGAAGACGGGUAGCUGGUCUGAGAGGAUGAUCAGCCACACUGGAACUGAGACACGGUCCAGACUCCUACGGGAGGCAGCAGUGGGGAAUAUUGCGCAAUGGGCGAAAGCCUGACGCAGCCACGCCGCGUGAGCGAUGAAGGCCUUCGGUCGUAAGACGUCUGU